GAAACAGCUCGGUUGGCUGGAGCAUGGUGCUGACAAACGCCAAGGUUGCAGGUUCGAUCCCUGUCAGGGACA